rnacentral:rRNA from 1 species
CAGCCGCCGCGGGAAUACGAGGGGGGCAAGCGUUGUUCGGAAUUAUUGGGCGUAAAGGGCGCGUAGGCGGUUUGACAAGUUUGGUGUGAAAUCUAUGGGCUCAACCCAUAGCCUGCAUCGAAAACUGUCGGGCUUGAGUAUGGGAGAGGUGAGCGGAAUUUCCGGUGUAGCGGUGAAAUGCGUAGAUAUCGGAAGGAACACCUGUGGCGAAAGCGGCUCACUGGACCAUUUCUGACGCUGAUGCACGAAAGCUAGGGGAGCAAACAGGAUUAGAUACCCCCGUAGUCCCUGUCUCUUAUAC